rnacentral:rRNA from 1 species
GUGUCAGCAGCCGCGGUAAUACGUAGGCAGCGAGCGUUGUUCGGAGUUACUGGGCGUAAAGGGUGCGUAGGCGGCCUAUUAAGUUUGUCGUGAAAUCUCCCGGCUCAACUGGGAGGGUGCGGCGAAUACUGAUGGGCUUGGAGUGUGGGAGAGGAGAGUGGAAUUCCUGGUGUAGCGGUGAAAUGCGUAGAUAUCAGGAGGAACACCGGCGGUGUAGACGGCUCUCUGGACCAUAACUGACGCUGAGGCACGAAAGCGUGGGUAGCAAACAGGAUUAGAAACCCUAGUAGUCC